UACGUAGGGGGCAAGCGUUGUCCGGAAUCAUUGGGCGUAAAGCGCGUGUAGGCGGCUCGGUAAGUCUGCUGUGAAAGUCCAGGGCUCAAACCCUGGGAUGCCGGUGGAUACUGUCGAGCUCGAGUCCGGAAGAGGCGAGUGGAAUUCCUGGUGUAGCGGUGAAAUGCGCAGAUAUCAGGAGGAACACCAAUGGACGAAGGAGCUCGCUGGGACGU
rnacentral:rRNA from 1 species